AUGAUGAGGCAUUAAAGAAGAGGAGGAGUGUCUCAAGGGAGGUGAGCUGGAGGUGAUGCAAGGAUGUCUGAUCUGAAAGCAUGUUGUGGUCCGCUACACACAAGAGCAAAAGAAGAGCAGGAAGGAGCUCAGUGCCAAGACCAUAGCCACAGGAAGAAAACCAGCUCUUAGGGCUGCAGCUCUAAAGACAGGCCAGGUCAUUACAGGAACGUCUGCUCCCUUAGCCUUGCCAGACAGAGGAGGGUUAAGAAAGGAACUGCUGACCCUGAUAUGCAAACUGCCACGAGUGCUUCCUGCCUUUCUAUCAGCAUCAGAUGGCUAGCGAUGGAUGGCUGUGGAGAGAGGAUGCCAGACAGAUAUUUGAGCAGAACAAAGAGAGCCAACAGGAUGAAGGCAUUCCCUGGCUGGUUGGACAAGCAACUGAAGAACAGGAACAGAAGUGAAUGAAAAGAGAAGAUGCUGUGUUUGUGUUUUCUCUUGGUUAGAAUGCUGUGAGUCAGGACCUUAGCUGCUGGGUGUCCUGGGACUGCCUUCGAUGAAGAACCUGAGGCUCACCUUGCUUAAGUGACUUGAGCAGCUUCACGCAUCUUAGAAAACUGCAAAUUGGAACAGCAGAGCUGUGCCUCUGGCCAUUUCCUGGAACUACAGAGGAGCAACUUGCCCCGGUUUCCAGUGGGUGAUGUUCCUCUUCUGCCACAGUCCCUGGCGAUGUUGAUGUGAUUGCCAUCAGAGCUCAGAAGCACAGAGCAGAAUCAUCCCCUGGAGGAGGAUUCCCUUCAGUGUAAGAAGUUCUUACAGAAUUAAUCCUCAAAGACUGUGGGUGGACUCUGCCAGGUUUUUCCCCGGGUGUACCAGAAGAGAGGAAGAGCCCUCAAAUACAGGAAAGUGCUCUUUUCAGUGACAGUAGUUCUUUUGGGCCCUGUGGCUAAGUGUGCUCCCACCCCAGCAGUAAGAUCACAGCUAAUCCUGAGAGGCAAGAGCUCACACCAGGCUACUGAAAGAAAAAGUGUCCUUUGUGGAUUGCAAGAGGAACUGGGACACACUGCUGGAAAUGAAGUGGCAGGUCAUAAACUAUCAUAAACUCAGGAGGAGAGGUGUUCCUUUUUGAGACACUCAUCACAACUAGAGAGAAUGCAGCUAAGAAAAUGCAGUCUUUAGGGGGACCUGGACUGUUGAAGUAUUUGAGCUAUUCGGAGGAAAUAGAAACUUGGAAGAGAUCUUUGUUCCACUAUUAUUUGGCAGCCCCUUACCCGCAGCUGCCAUUACUCCAGAUUCUCUCUGAUGAUCCUGCAUCAGGAGAAUGAGUUGACUGGGCACCACUGGGAAAUGUGGGCAGCUCCAGGCUGAACUAGAGAAGGGGCAUGUCAAAGGUCACUUAUUUGUGGCUUGACCCUUUGGAGGCCAGAUGUAAGAAUCAAUUUCUCACAGGUCCCAUGCUAACGCUUUUCAUAUUUAUUUCCAUCUGAGACUCACUUAGGCUAGGCAAAUAUCCCAUGGGUCUGUACCUCUCCAGUGCUUUCUUGCUCAUGUAAAAUUAGCUCAUUGGAAUGAAUAAAGAGAAUGGUAUUACUUUGGCUCGAA
ensembl:lncRNA TRD-AS1 TRD antisense RNA 1